rnacentral:rRNA from 1 species
UGCGUAGGCGGGUCUUUAAGUCAGGGGUGAAAUCCUGGAGCUCAACUCCAGAACUGCCUUUGAUACUGAAGAUCUUGAGUUCGGGAGAGGUGAGUGGAACUGCGAGUGUAGAGGUGAAAUUCGUAGAUAUUCGCAAGAACACCAGUGGCGAAGGCGGCUCACUGGCCCGAUACUGACGCUGAGGCACGAAAGGCGUGGGAAGCAAACA